UACGUAGGGGGCAAGCGUUGUCCGGAAUCAUUGGGCGUAAAGAGCGUGUAGGCGGCUCGAUAAGUCUGCUGUGAAAGUCCAGGGCUCAACCCUGGAAGGCCGGUGGAAACUGUCGGGCUAGAGUCCGGAAGAGGCGAGUGGAAUUCCCGGUGUAGCGGCGAAAUGCGCAGAUAUCGGGAGGAACACCAAUGGCGAAGGCAGCUCGCUGGGACGGUACUGACGCUGAGACGCGAAAGCGUGGGGAGCAAACAGG
rnacentral:rRNA from 1 species